AGAGUUUGAUCAUGGCUCAGGAUGAACGCUAGCUACAGGCUUAACACAUGCAAGUCGAGGGUAGCAGGGUAGCAAUACCGCUGACGACCGGCGCACGGGUGAGUAACACGUAUCCAACCUUCCCAUAACUCAGGGAUAGCCUUUCGAAAGAAAGAUUAAUACCUGAUAGUACUUUUUCAAGGCAUCUUGAGAAAGUUAAAGAUUUAUUGGUUAUGGAUGGGGAUGCGUUCCAUUAGAUAGUUGGUGAGGUAACGGCUCACCAAGUCUUCGAUGGAUAGGGGUUCUGAGAGGAGGGUCCCCCACAUUGGUACUGAGACACGGACCAAACUCCUACGGGAGGCAGCAGUGAGGAAUAUUGGUCAAUGGGCGAGAGCCUGAACCAGCCAAGUAGCGUGAAGGAUUGAAGGUCCUAUGGAUUGUAAACUUCUUUUAUAGUAGAAUAAAGUGAUCCACGUGUGGAUUUUUGUAUGUAUACUAUGAAUAAGGAUCGGCUAACUCCGUGCCAGCCGCAGC
rnacentral:rRNA from 1 species